rnacentral:misc_RNA from 1 species
CACUGUUUCAGACUAAAGGAUGGAGGAUAUUCUGUCCCGUCUCCUGCAGCCGGAUAGCGCCGUCAUCCAGGCAGCUACAGAACAGCUCCGGGUUGCGUUCAAGGACCCAGGUGUGGUCCCGGAGCUGUGCCGGGUUCUAGGAACAUCACCGUCUCCGCAGAUCAGGCAGUACGCUGCGGUUCUACUGAGGAAAAAGUUUUCUAAAUCUCGGAUGUGGGAUAAACUAUCGGCUGAGGAUAAAGCUAAGAUUAAGACUGGAUGCCUGGAAAGUAUUCAGACAGAACUGGACAAAUCAGUUAGUAAUGCGCUGUGUCAGCUGAUUGGAACCCUGGCUAAGCAUGAACUGGGUGGAGCAGGGUGGCAGGAACUCCCUCAAUUCGUCCUGAACAAAGUUAAGAGUGCUGAAGGUAGAGAACGGAUUCAAGCAAUGAGUGUAUUUUCCGUGCUGGCAGACACUGCUGGGGAACAAUUAAAGAAGAGUCUGGAGAACUUCUUGCUCCGGGACUGGUUGUUGAUGCUGAGGAAAACUCUGGAGGAUCCAGAGGAAGAAGUUUGCUUUCUUACAAUCAAAUCACUCUCUCAUUUUGUUAGGAGAACCGGAAGUGAGGAAGCGAAUAUAUUCCAACAAAUGAUCCCUACCGUUCUCGUCAAAAUCAAGCAGCUCGCCGCAUCCAACCAGGACAAGGCAACCAUCGCCCUAGACAUAUUCGACGAUCUGAUCGAGUGUGAGGUGGGGAUCGUCAUCCCGCAUAUCAAACCAAUGGUGGAACUUUGUAUUGCCCUGGCCGCCGAACAAAGUCUGGACGAUCCGUUGAGGAUUAAGGCGGUCACUUUCCUCGGCCGAUUGACAAGACUUAAGAAGAAAACUAUCGUGAAGCACAAGCUUUAUAUUCCUAUGAUCAAUGUUAUUUUCAGCAUCAUGAUGCAGAAUGACGCUGAGGAUGAGGAUGAUGAUGUAGAAGAGGAUGAUGAUACUCCUGCUCUAGCUGCUAGCCAGGCCCUGGAUACACUUGCUCUCAACCUUCCUCCAGAGAAAUAUAUCUCAGCUCUUCUUUCCCAGGUUCAACCUGCACUGGCAAACCCCAACCCGUAUUUCCAGCGCGCCGGUUACCAGGCUCUCGCUGUAUCAGCUGAGGGAUGUCAGGAACAUAUUAGGAACAAGUAUCUGGGCAGCUUCCUGCAAAUUCUAGGUAAUGGGAUCCGUCAUGAGCACCCUGCAGUCCGGAACUCUGCUCUCUACAUGUUGGGUCAGUUCUCCGAGUACAUACAACCAGAGAUCUCCGACUAUGCUGGAGAUAUUCUUCCAGUACUCUUCCAGUACCUGGAUACUGCCUUCCUAGCAAUGCAACCUGGAGUACAGGAGUCCUCUAGUGUAUCCAGAAUUUUCUACGCCCUUGACACCUUCUGUGAGAACCUUGAGGAGAAGUUGGUCCCGUAUCUUGGGGAUCUGAUGAAGAGGGCCCUGGACUCGCUCAACGAGAACUUCUCGAUCAGGGUCCGGGAGCUCGGGAUUAAUCUGAUCGGUUCAGCUGCCAACGCUGUAGGCUCCGAGAUUAUCCCGUAUUUUGAUACAGUUCUUGUUCCUCUACAAGGAUACCUUACCAUGCAGCAUACGGACGAUACUCAGGUGCUACUGACGACAAGUAUGGCAACUUUGAGCAUUCUAGCCCGAAGCGUUGGAAAGGAAAAUUUCAGUCGCGAGUUUGCCGAGAAAUGCAUCAAUAUUGGGAUGCAGUUAGUCGAAUCUAACGACGACCCUGAUGUCAGAAAAUGUGCGUACAAUCUAUUCGGAGCUGUAGCUUCCAUUGUUAAGGAAGAAAUGUCUGCUAUUAUGGAGUCUUGUGUUACAUUAAUGUUGAAGAGUCUGCAGUCUACCGAAGGUAUUCAUCUAGAGGUUGAGGGGGACGACACCAACCUUCCUCUGGACAGCCUAGAGGACGAGGAUGACGAGAUUUCGCUUGAUGAAACUGCUCAGGAGGACGAUGUAGAUCUAGACGAGGUGAAGGCCAUCGGUGUCGAGAAUGCCUUUGUUGCGGAGAAAGAGCAGGCGUUGAUUGCUCUGAAGGAUUUCAGCCUGGAGUGUGGAGCUGCUUUCUAUCCUUAUAUUUAUCAGAGUUUAGAAGAGAGCUGGACUCUACUAGAUUAUCCUGAUGAUGAUGUGCGGGGAGCAGCAAUAUUGGCUACAGCAGCAUUUCUUACUGCUUACUUCAAGAGCGGACAAGCUGAUGGUAUGACAGCCUUCACAAAGGGAACAACUGGAUUCAUCCCCAAGCUCUGUGAGAUGAUUGAAGAGGAAUCCGAGCACAGUGUUGUUAUCUCAAGCUUAGAUGGGAUCACGGAGAUGCUGAAGCACUGUAAGCUCGGGGUAACCUCUCUUCCCGGUAUUCCGGAGAAGAUUGUUACUUCGGUGACCAAGAUAAUGAAAAAGGAGUGUGCCUGCCAGGACAAGGAGGAGGAGGAGGGGUUAGAAGAGGACGAGGAGGCAGAACAGGACGAGAUGUUGUUCGAGUAUGCCGGAGAGGUUCUACCCAACCUGGGACGAGCGAUGACUCCGGACGGAUUUGCUCCGUACUUCAUGGGACUACUCCAGAUGCUGCUUAAGAAGACUAAAAAGCAGUGUAGCACGGCGGAGAGAAGCUUUGCCGUCGGAGCGCUGGCGGACUGCAUGGAGCCGCUUCAGGGCCGCUUAGAGUCCUUCAAGCAGUUUGUCCUGCCCGUGUUCCAGGACUCUGUCAAGGACGAGGAGACUGAUGUGAGGAACAACGCCGUGUACGGGUUGGGUGAGAUGGUUUUGUGGGGAGGAGAGAUCAUGGUUCCACAUUACAACCAGAUACUGAGUAUUCUCUCUAUACUGCUGAAAGGAGAGGGAGCUCCCAGAGUUAUUGAUCAGAUAGUCGGAUGUGUUGCUAGGUUUCUAGUACUUGAGUCUGCAAGUAUACCUAAACAAGAAAUAAUCCCCGUCAUGAUGGAAAAUUUACCCUUGAAAGAGGAUAAGGAUGAAUACGAGAUGAUCUUCAAGGCUCUGACCAAGCUAUACGCAGCAGGUGAUGAAAGCAUUAAGGCAAAUAUACCUAAAAUACUGGAAUGUGCACUGGUAUGUCAGACCGCAAAGGAUAUUGAUAAGAAAACGAUUCUGCCGAUUGUUGCCGAACUGGUGAAACAGAUAUCUCGAGAUUUUGCCGUUGAAUUUCAGGCGGUUACCGCCGCUUUACCGCCGAAUACACAGCAGAGGCUAUUGGCGAUUCUUGCAUAAUCUUAUCUUUUAAGCAAAUCUGUUAAAUAUUGAGCUAUGCACUAACAUUUUUUAUCUCUAGUCUUCAUGCCACUAUUUGCGUAGUUUUCAGUGACCCUUCAGGAAAAGAGUCCCACUAAACAGUGCCUUUCAUCAGGUCAAUGUCCUCCUUAUAGUAUAUUUGAUAGUAGUCGUGUUCCUUAUCUUCGUGCUAGAAGUGUAUUAUGUGAAAAUUCAUUCAGAUGUGAAAUUGUUAUUUAACCAUUAAUUCUUUGUAAGGUAUUUUUAUCUUGAAUAUAUAUUUUUUUCCUUCA